AUUUUUUACAACUCUUUUCCUUCUAUUCUUUAAGGAGGAUCUCACUGUGCUACAAAAGCUAAGAAUAUUGUUCACAGCCUCCAUUUUUGCCAUGUGUUUGACACUAGACUAGAUUGCUUGAUGAUAGACUUGACUUCCGCUGACCCAGUGCAACGUUCUCCCCGUUUAAUGGAUUCAUUGUAAGAUUGGCAAAAGAAGACUCGUAUCCCAUAUAAUGUCCUAUGUAGUUUUCCAUUCUUCCUCUUUGUAACGUUUAGGCUUUUGUAUAUGGUUCCCACAAUAGAUCCUUAAAUUUUUAUGUAGACAGGACUUAUAGAAAAGCCUUCAGAUUUCUAUAGGUAGGGUUUGCAAAUAAUCUUCGUCUUCGUUUAAAUUAUUUUGAAGAUUGUUUCAGGAAUUGCUUUAGGACCAAUAAAAAGAGGUGUUCUACUUUUUAAAUGCAGAAUUAAUAUAUUUUUGCAUAAAAGGAUCGUGGAUGGGAAGGGCUUCCAUUUGCAGUAAACCUACACGCGUUGAGACGUAGGCAAUCAGUAUUAUUUCAUAUAUAGAAUUAUUAAUUACAUGAUAAUAAAGUGACAAUAAUACAGUAAUUACAUGACAAUAAUAUAAUCUUGAUUGAUUGACAGCGAUUGUGAUUGUACUAUGCGAAACAUUUAUAGCUGAAAAAUUCAAUUUAUAUUUCUUGAAGUUUAGCUUACAAUAUACAAGACUGUACAUAAGUCCUAUAUAUAAAUAAAUUUUGCAACGAUUUUCGAUUCUCAUCCUGCCCGGCGAACAUUAGGACGUUGAUGAACAAUUCAAUUUGAAAGAUGCAGAACUCCUUUAAAAGUUAAUAAAACAGCGAUUUUAUAUAUCUACAAAACGAUCGAAAGUGGCAGUAUUCGAAUAAGAUCAAGAUAGGAUAGGUCGCAAUAAUUGUAUAACUUCUUAAAAUGACAAUAUAUAAAAGAUGUA